GGGCAGGUAGCUUAGCGGCUAAAGCACGGGUCUCAUAAGCCCGGGAUCGUCGGUUCAAAUCUGAUCCUGCUCA
rnacentral:tRNA from 1 species